GAUGAACGCUGGCGGCGUGCCUAAUACAUGCAAGUCGAGCGAACGGACGAGAAGCUUGCUUCUCCGAUGUUAGCGGCGGACGGGUGAGUAACACGUGGAUAACCUACCUAUAAGACUGGGAUAACUUCGGGAAACCGGAGCUAAUACCGGAUGAUAUUUUGAACCGCAUGGUUCAAAAGUGAAAGACGGUCUUGCUGUCACUUAUAGAUGGAUCCGCGGUGCAUUAGCUAGUUGGUAAGGUAACGGCUUACCAAGGCAACGAUGCAUAGCCGACCUGAGGGGGUGAUCGGCCACACUGGAACUGAGACACGGUCCAGACUCCUACGGGAGGCAGCAGUAGGGAAUCUUCCGCAAUGGGCGAAAGCCUGACGGAGCAACGCCGCGGGAGUGAUGAGGGUCUUCGGAUCGUAAAACUCUGUUAUUAGGGAAGAACAUAUGUGUAAGUAACUGUGCACAUCUUGACGGUACCUAAUCAGAAAGCCACGGCUAACUACGUG
rnacentral:rRNA from 1 species